AUACGUAGGGGGCGAGCGUUGUCCGGAAUGAUUGGGCGUAAUGGGCGCGUAGGCGGCGCGGUAAGUCUGGAGUGAAAGUCCUGCUUUCAAGGUGGGAAUUGCUUUGGAUACUGCCGCGCUUGAGUGCAGGAGAGGUUAUCGGAAUUCCCGGUGUAGCGGUGAAAUGCGUAGAGAUCGGGAGGAACACCAGUGGCGAAGGCGGGUAACUGGACUGCAACUGACGCUGAGGCGCGAAAGUGUGGGGAGCAAACAGGAUUAGAUACCCUGGUAGUCCACACUGUAAACGAUGAAUGCUAGGUGUAAGAGGUAUCGACCCCUUUUGUGCCGGAGUCAACACAAUAAGCAUUCCGCCUGGGGAGUACGGCCGCAAGGUUGAAACUCAAAGGAAUUGACGGGG
rnacentral:rRNA from 1 species